CUUUUCCUACGGGGCGCAGCAGUAGGGAAUAUUGCUCAAUGGGGGAAACCCUGAAGCAGCAACGCCGCGUGGAGGAUGAAGGUUUUCGGAUUGUAAACUCCUUUUGUUAGAGAAGAUAAUGACGGUAUUUAACGAAUAAGCACCGGCUAACUCCGUGCCAGCAGCCGCGGUAAUACGGAGGGUGCAAGCGUUACUCGGAAUCACUGGGCGUAAAGAGCGCGUAGGCGGGAUAGCAAGUCAGAUGUGAAAUCCUAUGGCUUAACCAUAGAACUGCAUUUGUAACUGUUAUUCUAGAGUCUGGGAGG
rnacentral:rRNA from 1 species